UUCUAGUUCCUUGAGAUGUACAUGUAGAUUCUUAUUCCAGAGCUUUCUUUUAAGGCUUCCAUCUCCAGGGCCCUGUCCCCCGAGCCCUCCAGACUGGGGACUCUGGAGCCACACACCAGGAGUCCAACUGCCACCCAGCAGGAAACCGUGCUGACAGGAACUACCAAAACCCUCAGAACCAGAGAAACCUGCCUGCCCCCUGAGGAUUCGCCCACGAUCUAUAGCCCCCUGGCUACAAACCCAGAGCCUGAUGUGUCGCCUGAUCCCUGUCCUCAACUCAGCCCCUCGGGGAACCUACCUCUGCACCAGCAGUUUGGGCCUGCCACGCCCCUAGCUCAGCUAUCUUCAGGGACCCCUUCAGCUCUAGGCAGACCUGGAACUCCCCUGUCUGCUGCAAAGCUCUGGGAUCCCCCCUCCUUCUUCUCAAUUUACACUGGCCCAAGGCUUUCAUGAGAAAGGGGGAAGGCUACCUCCUGACCGCUUAACACCUCCUUUCCUCUUCUGCCAUAUUUCUCUCCACUUACCUUUGUACCUGGGCACACUGGAAGGAACAUAUCAGUGGAACAUGGACAUGCUCUGAGACCUGAAUUUUUCAUGGCAGCUUUCUCAGGACUCCUUAUGCAAUCAGAAACUAACGUGACCUAUGACGGUGUGUUUGAAAAUGUCCAUCUACACAACAGGAGAGCAAAAAUCACUCCAUCUUUACCUCACUCUUCAUGAAGCAGAACGUGGUCUUCUUUUCUUCAUUGACUUCAAUUCCAAUUUGUUGCAAGCAGUGUUCAUUCCUUUGCUUCAGGGAUAGGAUUUCGUGAUUCCUUGCCUGUAUAGAACACCCAGAGCUCAUCACAACAGGUGCCCUCCCUAAUAGCCAUCACCAUUUAACCCUUCCCCCCACACCCCUGCCCUCUAGCAACCCUCGGUUUGUGCUCUAAGAUUGAGUCUGUUUCCUCGUUGGCCUAUCUUACUCCCCUCACUGUGUUCAUCUGUUUUCUUUCUAAAAUUAUGUAGGAGUCAAAUCAUAGGGUAUUGGUCUCUUCUUAUUGACUUUGCUGAGCUUAAUGCACUCGAGAUCCAACCACAUCCUUGCAGAUGGUAAGAUUUCAUUCUUUUUGAAGCUGGGUCCUGUUCCAGAGAGUGAGUGAGUGUGUGUGUGUGUGUAAAUCACC